rnacentral:rRNA from 1 species
UACGUAGGGGGCGAGCGUUGUCCGGAAUCAUUGGGCGUAAAGAGCGUGUAGGCGGCUUGGCAAGUCUGACGUGAAAGCCCGCGGCUCAACCGCGGAUUGUCGUUGGAAACUGCCUCGCUAGAGUCCGGAAGAGGAGAGCGGAAUUCCUGGUGUAGCGGUGGAAUGCGCAGAUAUCAGGAAGAACACCAAUGGCGAAAGCAGCUCUCUGGGACGGUACUGACGCUGAGACGCGAAAGCGUGGGGAGCGAACAGG